rnacentral:lncRNA from 1 species
CAUCCUUCACCAAAUCAAACCGACAACCAUGGCAGCAAAUAGUACUUCCAAAUCCCUGCAAAAACAAAGAAAAAACAUCAAUCCAACCUUGAGUUCAUCCACGAAGGAGUGACAAGUCAUGGAGGGGAUUUGAAUUUGAAUUUCAAACCCCCCUCUUCCGAAAUUAUUGAAAUUUCUUUUUCAAAUCCGGACUUUCAAGUCUGGAUUUGCGCCUAUAAAUAUGAGUUUCUUCAACACCCAGUAGGGGGAGGGCACCAAAAAAAAAAAAAGAUCCGAGGAAGAGAGUAGAAAUCAGGGAAGCCGAGAGGUGGAAACAAAAAGAGGUUUCAAAAUUAUUGGUUUCUUUCCGAUUCCGAUCCAAGAUCGGAGUUCCUUGGUUUGAAUUUCUAGCCACCGAAAGAUCUCAAUGUUGAAGCCUCACGUUUGCUGCCCACAAAAAGGUGCGAGUCUUCCCUUUAAACGUCAAUUUUUAUUUCCUUGUUCUUUUUAUCUCGUUCAGUUUAUGGAAGGUGUGGUUUCGUUAUAUUUUCAAAUUUGUUGUUGGCGUUGUUGCUUUUGCGGAUAAAAUAUGACUUCGAUUCUAAAAAUGAAUUUGGUUGUAAAUUUCGAUCAAGUUUGAGUUGUUGUUGAUUUUGAAAGUUGGGAUUGAGUGUUGAUUUUAUCAAAUUUACAUUGUUGUUGAUUCUGGGAAAUGAACUCGUAAGUGUAUAAUUUACGUUUGGGUUCGAGUUGAGAUCGUUGUGAUGAUUGUUUACUAUCCAUGGGUCAUUUUUGAUUUUUUAGACGUGGUUGUUCUGUGCCGAUUAUUCAGGAUAUGUGAGUCUGUUUUCGGGGUUGUGUCGUUGUUGCAAUUGUGAGGUCCUGUAAAUCACUUUUGGCUGGUCCUUGAGAAAUAUUCAUGCAUUUUUGUGCUUAACUUCGUGAAUAUGUGAAUAGGCGGGCUACUUCGGCUUCAAGUUUUGGUUAUAAUAUUGUUCCAUAAAGCCUAUGAGAGAUGGAAAAUCAGCUUUUUAUGUCUUCAUCCUUUUGUUGUUUUAAUUUCCGCGGAUGUGUGAUUUUCAGGCCUCGGGUUGUGUCAGUAUUGUUGUUUGUUCAUUUUAUUUUUGAGUCCGAAUGGUGUUGUGGGAAAUUAACUCUUUGCUUCGACAUCGUCUUAUUGCGAUUCAAUGGCUUUGGGUAUGUGGGCUCUUAUUUUGUGUUAUUUCUCACCAGAAAUGGUGCUAUCAGAAUGGUGUCUGAUUUCCAUUCUUCUAUUUCGUCGAUCAUUUAAGUGGGACUGCUCUGUUUUAAUCUGCAAGUUUAAUUAUUUGAUUGAAUGCUUUAGUCCUCUAGUUGGUUUCGGGUACGAAUUCACCUUUUUCUUUUUUUGUUUCUUUGUCGUUGUAUUUUCUUCGACAUUUUUGAUUCUAUCGAAUGUAAGAUUCAUUUUGAUUUCAAGUGGUAUGGUUGUGGUUAUCUUGGUCUUGCAAGUAAAAGAUGUAGUUUCUUUAAUCUGAAAAAUUAUUCGGUGUUGAAUGCACGGAUUUCUAGAUAUAUGAGUAUAUGUGUUUAUCCCGUUUGGUUGCUGUGGUUGUUCGGGAAUUUUGUUGAAUAUGAUUAGAUAUAAAAUCUAUUUGUGUAAACAUGAAUCUGUAGGUAUAUGAACAUGGCACCUUUUAUCACGUUUUUUAAAGCAAAAUAUGGUUAAAUUGAUUGCUUGUAGCCAUCCUUUGGUAUUUGAUUUCGUGGGUUGAAUUGGAUGAAUCAUGGAGGAGAAAUUAACUUGUUUAUUUGGGGGGGUUUGUUUUUUAUGGAUCUUUCAAUGUUUUCAAUAUCUGCAUUCUAGUUUUUUCCUUGUCAUCAAGUCUUGAAAGAAAAGAAUUGAUCCUUGUUUAGGCAAAACAUUGGUGAUAAUAAUUGUUUUGGACAUAUAAUUAUCGGUUAGUAAUAAUAAUAAUCCUCCCUUUGCUGAUAACAAUUAUUGGAUUGGCAUGCUAAACGAGUAGUAAUUUCCUUGAAUUUGUUCUUUGGUUUUUCUUAAAAUAGUGCUAUUUUAACUUCAAGAGGGUAAAAAUGUUUAGGUGAUUUAGUGCGUAUCUAUAUCUGUGUUGGUUUCCAAAAUCAUAAUUUCCUUUUUAAAGAAUGUUGUUUGUGGAUGUGCACAUUGUUCCCUAUACGACCACAGUUCAUAUUUUUUCGCAAAAUGAUUGUCUAUUGCGUUAUAUUUUGUGUUUAUAUCUUGUACUCCCACAGAAUAAAUGAAUUGUUGGAUUUUGACACAUAGAUUAAGAAAAAAACAUUGAAAACAUAAAUUUAACACAACUUUUCAUUUUUAUCCUUAAAAAAAAAAAGUUGACCUUGUAAUACCUUUUCAAAAGUUAAUUGAUUGUCAAAUUAUAAGGGUAAAUUUGAAAAAAAUUUAAUAAUUCACUUAUUUUGAAACACCAAUAAAUACCCUAACAACUCACUUAUUCCGAAACGGAGGGAGUAUUAUAUUCUCUUUAUUUCAUAUUUUAUUCAUUUAUUAGAUCUUGAAUUAUUUUUCUAAUCCUUAUUUUCUCUCUUUGUUUACAUGUAAAUUCGGAUGUUGGAGUUCUUUCGUAACGAAACUGGUCUUGACCCAACAUCGGGUCACCUGCAACUAGGAUCGCAGAGUUCGGAGUCUACACCUCAUUUGCCUCAAUAGGAACUUAUAACUUAUAGUAUCGAGUUCUUACCCUUCUUAAUCACUUUAUUGUUUGUACAUAUUUUACUAACCUUUGUAUUCAUUUGAAUUAUGAAUUUUCGUGUGGCGUGAUUGAAUUGAAACUAACACUAGUAUGAUUUAGUUUUUGUUUAAGUUUUUAGAUGUCUAUACUUGAUUCUCUUUGGUUAAUCUUUUAUAUAUUCAACGCUUACAAAUGUAGUAACGAUAUAUUACUCAAACCAUUAUUUUUAUACUCAUGAAUAACCUUUUAGAAUAAAAGAGGUAAAAUUACGGUUUAAAGACGGCUCUUAAAAAGAAAAUACAUCUUUUUCCAAAUUGAACAAAAGGUUAAUUAUUAUUAUUUUUAUUUGUUGAAGUUCUUCGAAUAAAUCAUCAAGCGACCUUUGUUAGUCAAAUCUUUUUUUCAAAUUGACAAAUUACUCACCUAUCAAAAUUUAAAUUU